GGCUCCUAGUGUAGCGGUAGCACGCCGCGUCGGUAUAGUUUCCAACUGAGGGCCGGAAGGUUCUGGUUCAAUCCCAGAAGGUGCCA